rnacentral:pre_miRNA from 1 species
AGUUAUAUCAAAACCUGGCUCUGAUACCAAGAGGAAUUGAUGAUCUUUAUUCAUGAAAAGAGAGAACUAUAUAUAGAUAUACAACGAUAUGUCGAAGACGAAAUUUUUAUCUCAAUAUGGGGUUAUUAGACCAACUUUGGGUGGCA